CCUACGGGUGGCAGCAGUGGGGGAUAUUGCACAAUGGGGGAAACCCUGAUGCAGCGACGCCGCGUGUGGGAAGACGGUCCUCUGGAUUGUAAACCACUGUCCUCAGGGACGAAGAUGACGGUACCUGGGGAGGAAGCUCCGGCUAACUACGUGCCAGCAGCCGCGGUAAUACGUAGGGAGCGAGCGUUGUCCGGAAUUACUGGGUGGAAAGGGAGCGGAGGCGGGACUGCAAGUUGGGUGUAAAAUCUACCGGCUCAACCGGUAGCCGCACUCAAAACUGCAGUUCUUGAGUGAAGUAGAGGCAGGCGGAAUUCCUAGUGUAGCGGUGAAAUGCGUAGAUAUUAGGAGGAACACCAGUGGCGAAGGCGGCCUGCUGGGCUUUUACUGACGCUGAGGCUCGAAAGUGUGGGGAGCAAACAGGAUUAGAUACCCGGGUAGUC
rnacentral:rRNA from 1 species